rnacentral:rRNA from 1 species
GACGAACGCUGGCGGCGUGCCUAAUACAUGCAAGUCGAACGCAGUGGGGACGGUUUAGUAACACGUGGGUAACCUCCCAUCAGAGGGGAUAACACUUGGAAACAGGUGCUAAACCGAUACUGAUGUCUGUAGUCGCUGUGCAUUAGCUAGUUGGUGGGGUAACGGCUCACCAAGGCCACGAUGCAUAGACGACCUGAGAGGGUGAUCGGCCACACGGGGACUGAGACACGGCCCAGACUCCUACGGGAGGCAGCAGUAGGGAAUCUUCGGCAAUGGGCGAAAGUCUGACCGAGCAACGCCGCGUGAGUGAAGAAGGUUUUCGGAUCGUAAAACUCUUUUGUUAGAGAAGCGGUAUCUAACCAGAAAGCAACGGCUAACUACGUGCCAGCAGCCGCGGUAAUUC